UACGUAGGCAGCAAGCGUUGUUCGGAGUUACUGGGCGUAAAGGGUGUGUAGGCGGUGAUUUAAGUUUGGUGUGAAAUCUCCCGGCUUAACCGGGAGGGUGCGCCGAAUACUGAAUGACUUGGAGUGCGGGAGAGGAAAGUGGAAUUCCUGGUGUAGCGGUGAAAUGCGUAGAUAUCAGGAGGAACACCGGUGGUGUAGACGGCUUUCUGGACCGUAACUGACGCUGAGACACGAAAGCGUGGGGAGCGAACAGG
rnacentral:rRNA from 1 species